CAGCUCUACUACAACCUCACCCAGCUUCCCAAGAAUCAGCCCAAAGCCAGGGUCCAGAGAGGAUGGCAGCACCUCCAUGGCACUGCUCUACCACAGGACUCUGUCCAGUCACUGUGUAUCCAGCAGCUGCACCAAACCCUAGAGAAAACCUCAAUAUUCUGCCUGGAACCCAACUAGUAACUGGCAGCCUGAAAUCAUAGUUAAAUGGUAAUCAGACCACAAGAAACUACAUUCAGACAGAAGGCCCAGAAAUCCUGGACUAUGAACUGGACAUAUUUAUUUGGAUCAUUUGGGGAGAUAAAAAAAUUACUAAAAAUAAUUAUACCAGAAAAUUAUGGAUCAAUAAUCAAAAUUACAAGGUGUCAAGAGUUAAAUGGACUGAAACAAAACAAAAGAAACUGGAAGGCAAUGAGGUUUAUCUUAAUUCUAACCCUGAUUUGUAGUCUGAGAAGAACACAUCAUUUAGAAUCUCUGUGACUGGAUUUUUUUUUUCACCUUAGAAGAAAUGUCAUCAUAAUACCCAUCAUCUUCCACACAAG
rnacentral:lncRNA from 1 species